ensembl:lncRNA
AUCUUGCUGGUGGUACCUGCCUAUUUGAGUCCUUCUAAAGAGCUUGCUGUACGCAGGCUCCAGUGCCUUCUGUUGCGUUGGGAGCAGGUGAUCCAUUGCACGGUGAAGAUGAUUUACAGCACAGGAUGCCAUUGCACUGCAAUUCUCCAGCAGAAAGACAUGGUUCACCCCCAGCUCUGGUGUAUUUUGAGUAUUUCCCUGCUAUGGUCUGUAGGAACAGUGCUGUCUGCAGUGUGACAGCUGAAUUGGAUGCCCCAUCUCUUUACAAAAGCUGCUGAGCUUCAGCUUCAUUCCCAUGCCCUUUCCCUCCCCAAGCACACCUUCUCGUCUGCCAUUUCAGAGUGUCAUUGGUUUAAUUAAAUGUCCUCCUCCUCUUUGUUCAGGAAGGCUGUGUUCUUUUAGCUGAGAUACUGCCUUUAAAGGAUUUUUCAGAGGGAGGUUUUAGUUCAGUGUUUACCACGUACAGAUAGAUACAUACGGCUGAAUUUGCCUGGUCCUUGACCUGCACAAAGAACAGGAGAUUCUUCCUGACACUUGGAGGCUCCCCAGUGCCUUCUGAUGUUUUGACAGGUACUGCCUGAUAUCAAAUAUGCACAAUCCUUGGUUUGGAAAGAGAACUUCAAAAGAGCUGGAAUUGUAUUUAAAUUGCAAACAAAUUGUGUUUGCAUUGGAAGAAGUAUGUGAUGAUUGUUGCUUACUUAAACGUCGCUAUACAGAAAAGGCUUUGGGGGGAUUUAAGAAGGUCGGCACAUUAAUUCUGACAGGGACAUAAGCUCCUAUAUUGUUUUGAUCUAUUUUAACAUUGUUGGAAGGACACAAAAAUGCAACAACACAAUACAAACGGAAUGAGUGUAGAUGUAGAAAAAUGUUAUUUGCUUGAACGGGUUCUGAAGUCCCUCUGUCCACAGUUCAGCCUUUCAGCCACCCAUCCGCUAAAGUAGAGGUAUUACAUACAGAAAGGAAAGGAGGAAACCUCCGCUGUCAGCCCGGUGCCGCUGUUCUCUAUCCCCAGGGGAACCUGGGGCUUUGGUAUCAAGGCAGAAUGUCACAAGAUGCUUCUUCAGCACACAUGUAUAUUAAGAACAGGCUUAAAUGGGGUGGAUGUUAUCUAGAGAUUAUAUUUUCAGAUCUGCAGUCAUCAUAUUAACUGAUUAAUAAUUGGUGUUCUGGCUGCUCCUGGGGAUUCCUACAGGGACAGCAAGGCUGGGACAAUAGCAGCUCCUCAGCCCAUUCGGCACGUAGGGUAUGUAUGGGGGAGAGGAGUAGGACAGAUACUGGGGCAGAACAGCAAAGCUUUCCAAACUGCACAAAACAUUCUUAAACAGAACAGGGAAGAGGAGAUAUGGCCAAGCUUUUAAUUUCUUAUAGCAAAAUAUGUGUAUUAUACACCCUUGCAUUCUUCCCAGUGAAAUUAUUUUGAGGAAAAGCUUUAAUGCAUUCUGGUAAUACACAUCAAGGUUGCUGAUCAAAGCGAGCCAUUUCAGUUUUCUGUGUGUCAGUAGGUGGAGUUUCAGCUGUUUAUUUUUAACUGUAAAAUCCUGCCUGGCUUGUGUUUUGGCCAUAGGCUGAUGCAUGUCCUUUCUUGCUAGGCUGCUGAAAUCAGCAAAUCCUUUGACUGAGCUUUGAGCAGUUCUUUCUCUCAGAAAAUUAAAAAUCUGUCCUGCAUCUCAUCGAAACAGAGGUGCAGUCUUCACCAGCGGGUCCUGCCCUGGAGUUAUUUGCAGCUGUUCACUCAACUUCAUCUGUACUUCAAAAAACUGAUUUGAAUUCAUUGAAAUUUGAAGUAUCCUGGAUAUAAGCGUAGGUAGAAAAAUGACGAUUUGGUCUUUAACCAGCUGGUGACAAUGGAGAGGGACAGACCUGGAAUAUAAAACUUGUCUCUUAUGGGGAAAUACAACAGAAGCUGAAGGACACCCUUUGGCAAAGGUUGUUUUUGAGAUCAGACCUGGCGGGCGGCGGAGGACGGGCAGCUCUUGCAAUCCUGGCCUGAAUCAAGAUGGGACCCCAACUUCCCUCUGUUCUGAGACAGAGCUCUACAACACUUGGCUAUAGGGCUCUUUACAAAUUGGCAAACCACAUUGCCAAAGCUGCUUAACCUACUGCCCUACUGCAACAGAAGCUGAGUGUCUGUGAUGUACACGGGACAUAGAUAUUUUCACCAUUAUAUCUCAAUGCCUCCUACCCGCAUGAGCUCAGAAAACCUCUAAUAGGGGAAAGGGAUGGAGCAAGGGCUCAAUAAGCUGUCCCUGGAGCUUGCUCUUAUUGCACCAAGCUAGGGAGAGAGUUUCUGGAGUUCUGGUUGCCAGCUGUCAGAUAUAAUCUGCUCUGAAACCCAAGCCAGCUUCCAGGUCACAUUUGUGAGCAAAUCUGUCAUCUGAGCUGGAUUUUCAGGGCCCUGUAAACUGCAGAAGCCACUCCUAAUUACACACUUCAUUUGUAAAAGUUGCUUAUUCACAGAAAUAUGGGAGAAACCGAUCUCUUCCCAAAUACAUCCUAAACUUUUCCUGUACAGAGCUGUAGCCGAGGGGCUCAUGUUUUCCUUCCUGGCUUCUGGGAUGCACCAAUGAGUUCCUGGAAAGAUUUGCUUAUUUCAUUAUUGUAAAAAUAAAAGUCCAUUUAGCUCAC